GUAGGUGAACCUGCGGAAGGAUCAUUAAUGAGUUGUCAUGGGGUUCGAUGCUGGCAGCCAGUUUUUGGAUGCAUGUGCUUGCCCUAACAAUCAUCUUCUUCCUAACACCUGUGCACAUUUUUGAGGGAGUCUUGAGUUGGUUGCCGCUCUUGGGUGAUUUUCUCACAUUCCCUUAAAUCAUUAUACGCUAUUAACAAUGUUGAACGUGCUCUGUGCCGCAAGGCCAUUAAUAUAAUACAACUUUUAACAACGGAUCUCUUGGCUCUC
rnacentral:misc_RNA from 1 species